AGUCAACAUGGUGUAGUGGUUUGAGCAUUAGACUAUGACUCUAGUGACCAGGGUUCGAAUCCACACUUGGCUA